rnacentral:lncRNA from 1 species
GUCAAUGAAAUUCUAUCCAAUAUUCCACGUUGUCGUAAUAUAUGAAGUCUUGCUUUAGAAUGCUUCAGGCACCUAAUUGUGGAAAGUAGAAUGGAAAUUGUAACAAAAAAGUCUUAACUCUAAUAAAUAUUAACUAAACUCUAAUUAGACCAUAACAAUUCUAAGCAAGCUUUAAUCAAAUUCAAAGAAACCUCAAAGGAAUUACAAAGAAACAAUAAGAAAUCUAAAAGAAAUAUUAGAAUGAUUACAAAUAUAUCUCAAAUACGUCUUAAUUCAAUCUUAAUUUAAUCCUAGUUAAAAUCCUAUUGGACUUCAUUCAAACUUUAGGCCAAAAACUAACUAAAUCUUAAAUCCUAAACAAACUCAAAUAAAAUCCUAAUUCCUAAAUCAAAUCUUGAUCAAAUUCUAAACUCUAAAUCAAAUCCUAAUUAAAUCCUAAUCCUAAAUCAAACCUUAAUCAAAUCUUAAAUCCUAAAUUAAAUCCUGAAUCCUAAAUAAAAUCCUAAAUCUUAAAUCAAAUUCUAACUAAAUCCUAACCCUAAAUCAAAUCCUAACCAAAUCCUAAACCCUAAAUCAAACCCUAACCAAAUCCUAAUCCUAAAUUAAAUCCUAAUCAAAUCCUAAUCCUAAAUCAAAUCCUAAUCAAAUCUUAAAUCCUAAAUCAAAUCCUAAUCAAAUCCUAAACCAAAUCCUAAACCAAACCCUAACCAAAUCCCAAACCAAAU